UCCACCUAAAUGUCCGUUUGAGAACGGCAGGGGAAUUGGUCGAGAAUGUGUUGAUUGGCAUGUGUGCUUGAGAAUUCAACUCCAGGGCUGAGCUUUCUGAGGGAAUUUGGUGAUUCUACCUGAAAUUAGCAAUCUAAACUGACUAUAACGCAGGUUCACUUCUGUAUUGAUUUAAAAAAAUUCCUUUUCAACUUGCUUGAGAAGAUAUAAUAGGACAACAUAACUCUUCCUUUCAUACCGUUGUAUAAUAAUAUCAACCUAAAUCCAAUUCUACGGUGGUGUGCAUUGUCGUCUAAUUACUCGUCUAAUUACUUCUUCCUCUUAUCAUGUUUGUUGCAAAUAAUUGAAACAUAUGUUUGUUCAUAUUCAUUAAUUCUAUGUUAUUAACUUCUGCCUUUGUCCAUUUUAGAGGAUAUAUAUUAUUGCACUGGCAUGUGAAGUUUCAUCUCCCAUUUCUUUCCUUAAUGAUGCAUCGAUUUUAUAAGAUCACAUUCAUAAAGUACAAAGUAAUUUUUUUUCAAGAUAAAGAUAUGAUAUAUCUGGAUAAGAAAUGGGAGAAAUUGAAGGUAUAUAAAAGAGUGUGAGGUUAUCAUAAAUAUUUUGUUAAAGCUAAUACAUUUAUGGUUUUUAAAUUUAGAUAAGAAUUUAUGAAAGUUAAACUGAUGCGUUUGAAAUUAAACAAGUAUACAAGUAAAUAUAUAUAUAUAUAUAUAUAUAUAUAUACAUGGGAUACAAGGAAGAUAAAAACAAAAAAAAUAAAAAAUUGCUAUAUGUAAUUACAUCUAGCAAUUUUGUGACAUGAUUAAAUUAUUUUUGUGCAGAAAGUUUUUAUACAAGAAUUUCUAAAAGAAUUAAAAAUAUUAUGAUAAUGAAGAUGAAGAAAAACAAUAAAGCGAUUGUGUACUACACACAUCCAAUUCAUUGUUCAUAUACUAAAACCAUACAGAAACAUUAUGGAGAAUAAUAAUUACGGAAUAAAAUAUCUUUAACCCGAUUUAUAUUUUAAGAAAUUUUAUUUUAGUCUUAUUUACUUUGUGUUUUUGAUGUAUUUUAGUAGUUUUUAAGAUAUAUGUCAAAAAUGCAUGUGGAAUGCUAACAAAAAAUUUCAGCAUGUCAAACAUAAAUGUUGAUGCAUAUUGCUGAGAUAGUAAGAAUAGUAUUAAUUCUCUUUUGAUCAAUUGCACAAUGCAAUUAUGAUUCAUUCAAAUAUCAACUUUAAUAUGAAGCCAAAAUUUUACAUUUUUAAA
rnacentral:lncRNA from 1 species